rnacentral:rRNA from 1 species
GACGAACGCUGGCGGCGUGCCUAAUACAUGCAAGUUGAGCGCUGAAGGUUGGUACUUGUACCGACUGGAUGAGCAGCGAACGGGUGAGUAACGCGUGGGGAAUCUGCCUUUGAGCGGGGGACAACAUUUGGAAACGAAUGCUAAUACCGCAUAAAAACUUUAAACACAAGUUUUAAGUUUGAAAGAUGCAAUUGCAUCACUCAAAGAUGAUCCCGCGUUGUAUUAGCUAGUUGGUGAGGUAAAGGCUCACCAAGGCGAUGAUACAUAGCCGACCUGAGAGGGUGAUCGGCCACAUUGGGACUGAGACACGGCCCAAACGCCUACGGGAGGCAGCAGUAGGGAAUCUUCGGCAAUGGACGAAAGUCUGACCGAGCAACGCCGCGGGAGUGAAGAAGGGUGUCGGAUCGUAAAACUCUGUUGGUAGAGAAGAACGUUGGUGAGAGUGGAAAGCUCAUCAAGUGACGGUAACUACCCAGAAAGGGACGGCUAACUACGUG